CCUACGGGGGGCUGCAGUGGGGAAUAUUGCACAAUGGGGGAAACCCUGAUGCAGCAACGCCCCGUGAGCGAUGAAGGCCUUCGGGUCGUAAAGCUCUGUCCUAAGGGAAGAAUACUGAGGGUACCUUAGGAGGAAGCCCCGGCUAACUACGUGCCAGGAGCCGCGGUAAUACGUCGGGGGCUAGCGUUAGCCGGAAUUACUGGGCGUAAAGGGUGCGGAGGCGGCCCUUCAAGUCAGAGGUGAAAGGCUACGGUUCAACCGUGGUAAGCCUUUGAAACUGUAGGGCUUGAGUGGAGGAGAGGGGAGUGGAAUUCCGAGUGUAGCGGUGAAAUGCGUAGAUAUUGGGAGGAGCAGCAGUUGCGAAGGCGGCUCUCUGGACUGUAACUGACGCUGAGGCACGAAAGCGUGGGGAGCGAACAGGAUUAGAUACCCCUGUAGUC
rnacentral:rRNA from 1 species